rfam:Gossypium raimondii Chr10_contig_1400, whole genome shotgun sequence.
CUUGCGGUGAUGAAGCGAUAACAUAUAAGAAGGAUCUAUUUGUUGGAUUCUUCGUUGAAAUGUACUUGUUACGCUUGGCUUCUGAGCUUC